CUCCUGGGAAGUCCUCGGGUUGCACCCC
rnacentral:rRNA from 1 species